GUGCCAGGCACUAAUUUAUGUAAUGUAGAAAACAGCUCCCAGGCUACAUGGAAUUCACAAUGCGGGUCUGGUGUCCCCAGAGCCUAACCAAAAGGAAAGCCCAGGGAACUUGCAUCACUUGGCACUGAGGCAGGUCAAUCUACUCCCCCAUAAUGGCAACCAGCCUGUCCAAGGAUGGGAUUCAGCAUAUGCUACUCCCAUACACAGGCCCUGGGCAUUUGACAGAACAGCAGAAAAGGGAGGCCACUGUCCCCACUCCUUCCCCUUCUCCCUGGAGCAGGUCAUAAAACCUUCAUUCCAGAGGUCCUUCCUAAACUUGAAGGAAAGGAGCAUCCUCACCCUGAAAGACAGACACCAAGGAGAAGCUGAACACACAGGCCUUGGUGACUGGGCAGUGAACCCUGUGAUAGGCGAGGAAAAGAUAUUCUUUUGUUCCAGAGCAUCAUCUAAUCACACACCUCUUCUUUUGCAUGAAAUCAGACCUGAAAUAUCUAGAGUCUACUUUCCUCCACACACGGAAGCCUUCAGGUUGUUGGAUUCUGCAGGAAUCCAGCUGCUGUUGUUAUGGCCCAGGAGCGAUGCUGAUUUUAAAGAUGACUUGGCUCUGUGCUAGGGCUGGAACCCAUGGCCUUGCACACACCAGGCAAGCGCUCCCUCACCAAGCUUCAGCCUCGGCCCCUUACCCUCUUUAAACUGUACUGAAGAAGCAUUAACUGAUUUAAAAGCCCAGGCAUUUUGAGAACUUUAAAGCAGUUGAAGAAAAGAGGGCAAAUCAGAAAUAUCCAAUGAAAACUAUUUGUAAUGGUUAAAAAGCUAUGUGAUGUGCCUAUUUUAGUAUUUAGAAAUUGACAUCUUUGAUCUAGAUAUUUGUUUUACUUGAUCUGAUGGGUUCGGGUGGGGCUUGGACACAGGUACUUUGAAAGGCCUCCCAGACAGUUCCAAAGAACAGUCAACCUGAGAACCCUGCCCCAAGGGUACAUGAGCAAAUGCCUGGCCCUCCAGAAGCAGCCCCUACACUCAGGUGAGAAAGGCCUGCUGGGGGGAGAGGAAGCAGCGGUCCCCUGGGCUCCUGCCACAGAUCCUCAAACAGCACACUGCCCAUCACAUAAUCCACCACGAGCUCCCUCCAUUUUACCACGUGCCAUUUCUGUUUACAACAUAUUGGCAAAUACUGGCAAUGUGCUGUCAUGAUCUUUGCUGUGGUUGCUGAUUUACCCCUGGUCCUUGGUUUGCUAUUCCCACCUGCGCACUGAAGGGAGGAACCUCAUGGAAGUGGAGCAGGAAGGCAGUCAUAGGCUGGGAGGGCACUGAGGCCAGCCCUGCAUUUUACAGAUGAGCAAAUGAAGAACUGAAGAAAUUAAAUAAUCUCCCCAUUAGCUGGGUGACCUGGCAUUGCCUAUAAUCCCAGCAAUUUGGGAGACUGAGGUAGAAGGACUGCAACUUUAAGGCCAGUCUGGACAACACAGCAAGACCCCAUCUCAGAAAAAGAAAUAAAGAAAAGGAUUUUGAUUUUGAUUAAAAAAAAUUUUUUUGUAGUUGUAGAUGGACAGGAUGCCUUUAUUUUUGUAUGCGGUGCUAAGGAUCGAACCCAGUGCCUUGCACAUGCUAGGCAAGCACUCUGCUACUGAGCUACAACCUCAGCCCAA